AUAAGCCCACGACCCGGCAUCGGGUAGAGGGAAAAGGAGCAAUCCGCUUUGAGAUGGCCUCGCGUCCGAUUAGCUAGUUGGUGAGGUAACGGCCCACCAAGGCGACGAUCGGUAGCCGGACUGAGAGGUUGAACGGCCACAUUGGGACUGAGACACGGCCCAGACUCCUACGGGAGGCAGCAGUGGGGAAUAUUGCACAAUGGGGGAAACCCUGAUGCAGCGACGCCGCGUGGAGGAAGAAGGUCUUCGGAUUGUAAACUCCUGUUGUUGAGGAAGAUAAUGACGGUACUCAACAAGGAAGUGACGGCUAACUACGUGCCAGCAGCCGCGGUAAAACGUAGGUCACAAGCGUUGUCCGGAAUUACUGGGUGUAAAGGGAGCGCAGGCGGGAAGACAAGUUGGAAGUGAAAUCCAUGGGCUCAACCCAUGAACUGCUUUCAAAACUGUUUUUCUUGAGUAGUGCAGAGGUAGGCGGAAUUCCCGGUGUAGCGGUGGAAUGCGUAGAUAUCGGGAGGAACACCAGUGGCGAAGGCGGCCUACUGGGCACCAACUGACGCUGAGGCUCGAAAGUGUGGGUAGCAAACAGGAUUAGAUACCCUGGUAGUCCACACUGUAAACGAUGAUUACUAGGUGUUGGAGGAUUGACCCCUUCAGUGCCGCAGUUAACACAAUAAGUAAUCCACCUGGGGAGUACGACCGCAAGGUUGAAACUCAAAGGAAUUGACGGGGGCCCGCACAAGCAGUGGAGUAUGUGGUUUAAUUCGACGCAACGCGAAGAACCUUACCAAGUCUUGACAUCCUGCGACGGUUCUGGAAACAGAACUUUCCUUCGGGACGCAGAGACAGGUGGUGCAUGGUUGUCGUCAGCUCGUGUCGUGAGAUGUUGGGUUAAGUCCCGCAACGAGCGCAACCCUUAUGGUCAGUUACUACGCAAGAGGACUCUGGCCAGACUGCCGUUGACAAAACGGAGGAAGGUGGGGAUGACGUCAAAUCAUCAUGCCCUUUAUGACUUGGGCUACACACGUACUACAAUGGCGUUAAACAAUAGAAGCAAGACCGCGAGGUGGAGCAAAACUCAGAAACAACGUCCCAGUUCGGACUGCAGGCUGCAACUCGCCUGCACGAAGUCGGAAUUGCUAGUAAUCGCAGAUCAGCAUGCUGCGGUGAAUACGUUCCCGGGCCUUGUACACACCGCCCGUCACACCAUGAGAGCCGGGGGGACCCGAAGUCGGUAGUCUAACCGCAAGGAGGACGCCGCCGAAGGUAAAACUGGUGAUUGGGGUGAAGUCGUAACAAGGUA
rnacentral:rRNA from 1 species